rnacentral:rRNA from 1 species
CGAAAGCCUGACGGAGCAAGACCGCGUGAGGGAGGAAGGCUCUUGGGUUGUAAACCUCUUUUCUCUGGGAAGAACAAAAUGACGGUACCAGAGGAAUCAGCAUCGGCUAACUCCGUGCCAGCAGCCGCGGUAAGACGGAGGAUGCAAGCGUUAUCCGGAAUGAUUGGGCGUAAAGCGUCCGCAGGUGGCAAUUCAAGUCUGCUGUUAAAGCGCAGGGCUUAACCCUGUAAAGGCAGUGGAAACUGGUUGGCUAGAGUACGGUAGGGGUAGAGGGAAUUCCCAGUGUAGCGGUGAAAUGCGUAGAUAUUGGGAAGAACACCAGUGGCGAAGGCGCUCUACUGGGCCGAAACUGACGCUGAGGGACGAAAGCUAGGGGAGCG